rnacentral:rRNA from 1 species
UACGGAGGAUGCAAGCGUUAUCCGGAAUGAUUGGGCGUAAAGCGUCCGCAGGUGGCUGUGUAAGUCUGCUGUUAAAGAGUGAGGCUCAACCUCAUAAAGGCAGUGGAAACUACAUGGCUAGAGUGCGUUCGGGGCAGAGGGAAUUCCUGGUGUAGCGGUGAAAUGCGUAGAGAUCAGGAGGAACACCGGUGGCGAAAGCGCUCUGCUGGACCUUAACUGACACUGAGGGACGAAAGCUAGGGGAGCGAAUGGG